rnacentral:rRNA from 1 species
GCGACGAUGACUAGGGGAUCUGAGAGGAUGACCCCCCCACACUGGUACUGAGACACGGACCAGACUCCUACGGGAGGCAGCAGUAAGGAAUAUUGGUCAAUGGAGGCAACUCUGAACCAGCCAUGCCGCGUGCAGGAAGACAGCCCUCUGGGUCGUAAACUGCUUUUAUUCGGGAAUAAACCUUUCUACGUGUAGAGAGCUGAAUGUACCGAAGGAAUAAGGAUCGGCUAACUCCGUGCCAGCAGCCGCGGUAAUACGGAGGAUCCAAGCGUUAUCCGGAUUUAUUGGGUUUAAAGGGUGCGUAGGCGGCUUAUUAAGUCAGGGGUGAAAGACGGUGGCUCAACCAUCGCAGUGCCUUUGAUACUGAUGAGCUUGAAUGAACUAGAGGUAGGCGGAAUGUGACAAGUAGCGGUGAAAUGCAUAGAUAUGUCACAGAACACCGAUUGCGAAGGCAGCUUACUAUGGUUUUAUUGACGCUGAGGCACGAAAGCGUGGGGAUCAAACAGGAUUAGAUACCCUGGUAGUCCACGCCCUAAACGAUGAAUACUCGCUGUUAGCGAUACACAGUUAGCGGCUAAGCGAAAGCGUUAAGUAUUCCACCUGGGGAGUACGCCCGCAAGGGUGAAACUCAAAGGAAUUGACGGGGGCCCGCACAAGCGGAGGAGCAUGUGGUUUAAUUCGAUGAUACGCGAGGAACCUUACCCGGGCUUGAAAGUUAGUGAAUGGUUUAGAGAUAGACCAGUCCGCAAGGACACGAAACUAGGUGCUGCAUGGCUGUCGUCAGCUCGUGCCGUGAGGUGUUGGGUUAAGUCCCGCAACGAGCGCAACCCCUAUGUUUAGUUGCCAGCACGUUAAGGUGGGGACUCUAAACAGACUGCCUGUGCAAACAGAGAGGAAGGAGGGGACGACGUCAAGUCAUCAUGGCCCUUACGUCCGGGGCUACACACGUGCUACAAUGGAUGGUACAGAGGGCAGCAAGCUGGCAACAGCAAGCAAAUCUCAAAAAGCCAUUCACAGUUCGGAUAGAGGUCUGCAACUCGACCUCUUGAAGU